rnacentral:rRNA from 1 species
UACGGGAGGGGCAAGCGUUAUCCAGAAUGACUAGGCGUAAAGUGUCCGCAGACUGUAAUGUAAGUUAGUUGUUAAAUUUUAGAGCCUAACUUUGAACUAGCAAUUAAUACUGCCUUACUGGGGUUUGAUGCAGAAAAGUGGUAUUUCAUUUGAAGGGGUAACACCUGUAGAUAAAUGAAGGAACUCCGUAAGCGAAGGCAACUUUUUGGCACAUACUGACGUUGAGGGACGAAAGUAUAGGUAGCGAACAGG